rnacentral:rRNA from 1 species
AACGAACGCUGGCGGCAGGCUUAACACAUGCAAGUCGAACGGGUGCAGCAAUGCAUCAGUGGCAGACGGGUGAGUAACACGUGGGAACCUUCCUAGGGGUACGGAACAACUCAGGGAAACUUGAGCUAAUACCGUAUACGUCCGUAAGGAGAAAGAUUCAUCGCCCCUAGACGGCCCGCGUCGGAUUAGGUAGUUGGUGGGGUAACGGCCUACCAAGCCUGCGAUCCGUAGCUGANCUGAGAGGAUGAUCAGCCACACUGGGACUGAGACACGGCCCAGACUCCUACGGGAGGCAGCAGUGGGGAAUCUUGGACAAUGGGCGGCAAGCCUGAUCCAGCCAUGCCGCGUGAGUGAAGAAGGCC